rnacentral:rRNA from 1 species
GACGAACGCUGGCGGCGUGCUUAACACAUGCAAGUCGAACGGAAAGGCCCUGCUUUUGUGGGGUGCUCGAGUGGCGAACGGGUGAGUAACACGUGAGUAACCUGCCCUUGACUUUGGGAUAACUUCAGGAAACUGGGGCUAAUACCGGAUAGGAGCUCCUGCUGCAUGGUGGGGGUUGGAAAGUUUCGGCGGUUGGGGAUGGACUCGCGGCUUAUCAGCUUGUUGGUGGGGUAGUGGCUUACCAAGGCUUUGACGGGUAGCCGGCCUGAGAGGGUGACCGGCCACAUUGGGACUGAGAUACGGCCCAGACUCCUACGGGAGGCAGCAGUGGGGAAUAUUGCACAAUGGGCGGAAGCCUGAUGCAGCAACGCCGCGUGCGGGAUGACGGCCUUCGGGUAGUAAACCGCUUUCGCCUGCGACGAAGCGUGAGUGACGGAAAUGGGUAAAGAAGCACCGGCUAACUACGU